CGGGCUGACUCUUGCGUUGCAAAUUGUCAAUUCCCUGCAUGGCAAAUGUGAUUUUGUUAAGUGUACCGUACGAUGUGGCGUCAGCGUCGUCCUUCUUGUCGUAAACGAACGCCGCCAAAUAGUUCGACUAGAUCUAGUUUCGGCGACCAAUGAACGUAGUGUGCUUAGUCAGGAACGAGACAGCUUGUUCUACGAGAGGGGCCGUUCAGUCGUCAGCUAGCGCACGUAACGCGUAACGAUCAAUAACUCAUCUUGAUGCUCGCAGGCUAUCGACAAAUGUCUAAAUGGCCAGUCAAAUGGCCUAAUUCAACCACCUUCUGUCGGCUUGAUACUACGCGGAAAUUGCCGUAAACGAAAUCCACUGCCGUCCUGCUACGGAACCCGGUUACGCCAAGUGGACCGUGCAUUGUGGAAGCACAAAUGUCUUCGUGGCAUGAAUCUGAGCAUAUCUCGUCACGUUUCAGUACACAAGCGAGACAUGUGCAGAUUUCCCUAUGGCUAUGGUUUUUGUAUGUGUCGCCAGCAUCGAUGCUGACAUCCUGUCUAAGAUUUGCGCUUGACCCCGUGGCACAAUUUACUGGAGAUAGCUGAAAAAUCAAGCGAUUUGCUCGAGUUUAUUACAUUAAGUCAUUACCUCUAUCAGACCUCAACCGAAAUACUCGUGUAUUUCGGUGAUGAUAAUAACGACAUAAGUGUCGAAAUGUGUGGCGCUGUGAACGCGUAUUUAACUGGCUAAAACAGUAACAUUGUCGAAUGUCUUGUAGGUGAAGUAUAAAUUCUGGCCCUCGGAAACUUCAUAAUGCACGAAUCAUCGAAUUAUUCGAUGCAGUAUAAUAAACAGUAUUUAAAUCUAAUAUAUAAGUACAUCACUCGCCAACAUUCACUUGAAACACCCAAAACUACAUGCUACAUGGGAACAGAUGCUAAUUAUUAAACGUCCUCUUUUCGCUUCGAUUUAUCUUACACCUGAUCAGUAACAUUUUCAUAGAGUUAUCGUCUUGCUGGAAAUUUACAAAAACUUUAGAACGAAAUGCGCCAGUUCACAAUAGUCUACAACCAACUUAUUCUCCAGCGCUAAUUAGCAAACAAAACGAUUAUGACCUUACGUAAGGCACCUCGUACUUCUGGACCUUUUCUAACUCAUCGCGUUUGAUAUUUCUCAAGUAGGAUUCAUUAUUCCCUCCAAGCGAAAACGAACUUCUAUAGCUGUACAUACACGUAAAGAGCAUGUGCAAAUACAGGCAAAAUCGUACGUCACAUAUUAAAUACAGCUGUUUCAGUUUUAAAGGAUCUUAAAGGUAAACGUCAUAAAAAGAUACAAAAUUUAUACGAGCCAAACUAAUCCAUAAUGUAUAUUGCAGACUGUAAUUGCGACCCCAAUAUAUAUAUAGUGGCUAUCAAAUCUAACAAGUAGAACUUGGAUUAACCAAUGCUGGAGUCCAGAGCCAUAAGCAUAUUAUUAGUAAUGACCAAAAAAGGCUAGUCGUCUACAUCGACCUUUAAAAUGAGAUUUUUUAGAAAAGAUUUGCGAGUUCUAC